AAGACAACAUAUAUAAUAACAGAGUGUAUAGAGAUAAAUGUCACAAUAUAAUCAGAGUACUUAUUACAUAGCGGAAGUCUUACAAAAUAAAGCUAAAUAUAGAUCGAACUAAAAUCCAUCCUUGGCGCCAGAAAGUCAACUGGGAGACGCCACCUAGAUCGAAUCGAACUCCUCGAUGUGUGGCUCCACUUGAACCACCUGUUCUUCUCCUGUGGGGGUGUAAGACAGCAAGGGUGAGCUAACACAUGUUCAUCGCUCAACAAGUUGUGGGGAAUAAUGUGGCAUGAACUCACCAAAGGUGGGAGUUCAUGUGAUGUGUGAAGCUGAUCAACAAUAGGGGUUAAACCUGAGCAUUGCUUUUUAAUAAGUUGGUCAAAAUUUUAUUAGCAGUUACUAAAUGUAAGUGAAUACCAAACCAUAAUAAAAAUAAUAUAACAAAAUUAAUAAAUAAUCCCAUGCAAAUGACAAAUUGGAUUUAAGUUCCAUAAAUUAAUCAUGCGAGAGUCCUGAGCUACUCAUGACAGUGAGCUUGGCUAGUAUACAAGUUUUACACUCUGUAGAGGUUAUACCCUGUACCCACAAGUCGUGUAUCCCAUGUCGUUAGGGUUUGCAAGGCCCUUAGACACUACCAAGGUGAAUGGCUAGGGAUCCACAACGAGGCCUUUACAAAGUUCCACUAGCUUCCGAAAACCUCCAUCGCAGAAAAUCAACGCGAGAACCUCCUUGCAUGCAACUCCCCUACUGCUCUUGCCUCUUUCGGGUAAGGUAGUCUUCCACUAGCUUUCCUAAUUAGUCAGCCAAGGGCGUCCCAUUCCACCCUUGUGGUGGCACGUGUUUCUCAAGAUAAGCUCCAUGUUCCAAUUAAAAUUAAUGAUCUUGACAUGAACAUAAAUAGAAUAACAAAAUAAUUGGAACAUGGAUAUAAUGAAAUAUUAUCCCAAAACCAUGUAAAGCAAUAGCAAAAAUAUCCAAGUGAUUCAGGGAUAACAAGGUAAAGUGAUAAACAGUCUAGGGUGACCUAUUGGGUCCCAUCAAAAUUAAACCUAUGCAUUGAAUAGUGAUAAUAAAGAAUAUUAUUGGGUAAUAAAAGUGGAUCAAGGGCACAACUUGCCUAGCACUUGAGAUUCCAGUUACCAGGGUGAUUCUUCGGAUCCUCGUGACCGCACUGCUAGUCGUAGCAAUACAAACAGACAUGGUAUAGACAAAAUUAACAUCACACCAAACAUAAGUACAAACUGAAUAAUAAUGAUCUACGCGUCGUAACGAGAUUGUGGGAUCGAGAACUAGUAAAAUCGGGGUCAUGGUUAUGAAGUUAUGAUUUUCUAAAGUAUUAUGUGAUUAAACAGGAAAACUCAAUCCUAGGUCGAUUAUACGUAAUAUAAAUCAUGUGAGAAAGAUAAUUGAAAUAAUUAACUAACUUACUCUUGAUCAGAUUAAACUUUAUUAGAAAACAUAUUUUAGCUCCCAUUAUAAUCAUAGACAUAGUAAUCUUUGGUUAGUAGGAUAAAUCUACUAAACAUAGGAUAAAUAAAUAUCUAAUUGUAAAAGUAUAUGAUAUGAUAUAAUUAGGGCUAACAUUGUGUAGGCAAUCUUAUUACGAAACUAACGCAACUGGAACAGGUCAAUUUGGGGUUAAAACAGAUAAGUUAUGAAUUUUCUGCCUUUUCUAGAAUUAUUCCUAUAUUAAAAACCGAUUUCCAUAUUUAUUUUGCAACUUGUGGACCACAGCCAUUAAUUUCAGGAAGCACAGGGUCUUUCACGUAAAUAUUUGGACCUGGUUGCAAUGAUCCGAACGCUGCCGAGGAUGGCGGGUUAAUUCAUGUGUUUGUGAGGGGGCCCUUAGAAAAAUGUAUCCACGAAGGGGUACAAUGUGAUCUGAGCCGCAGGAUCAGAGUUCUAUGGCUACGAUUAGAUCGACCAAUAACACUGAAUCGGUAUGCGACGGGGACCGUUCGAUACAGAUCAACGCACAUGAUUUAAAAACGCUGGGACCAGAUCUCCACCGUCGAUAACCCGAUCCACGAUCACGGUUUUAAUUCACGCGAUUGGCUCAACACCACACAUCUGUCGAUCGACGGUAGUGGCGAACCCGAGUCGAACCAAUGCUCGCCUAGACCCCAUUCACCUGAUCAAGAUCAAAUGGUCCCUGAUCGUCGCCCCUUCUAACCACACCGACUAUCAUCGCGCGGUGGCGCGCGACGGCCGACGGCCAUGCCACGCUAGCGAGCAUUGCCCCGCGGCCCAGGCGCUCUAAUUCUACGCUAAUAAGGGUAGGAGAUUGAGAAGAUCCACGCGAACACAGUAGAGGAUGACUUACCGGAGCUCAAGCAAUGCAAAUCCAUGUCCACGGUGACAGGCGGGCACGCGACGGUGACCAUGCUCCGACGAGCGAUUCAGCCAACGCCAACCGAUCACCACCGCUCACAAGGUCACGGCCGAGUCUAGAGCUGCAUGGCGAAUCUCCCUGGCCCCAUGCCAUGGUCCAGAGAUCGACACGCGUGCAUGCCCCAUGGCGACACAUCCCGCCUCACUCUCUCUCUCUCUCUCUCUCUCUCUCUCUCUCUCUCUCUCACCGGCGAGACUCACAGUUGGUCCUAGUGGCUAAGAAUGAACGGCGCGAGAUUCACGCAUUAGGAAGGAGGGGCGGAGGUUGAAGAUGGGUUGUCACAGGGCUAGGACGCUACAUGUAGGAGCAAGAAGAUCCGGGAUUGAGCCACGAACCCCCGAUCUCCCCGCGUCAGUCCGCAGUUGAGCCUGGCGGCUUUUAAGGACGUGCGAGUGGAGGCCCAGGAGCUCGACGCGCAGGAGUAGCCGCCCGCGCCGGCGUCGGGGCAGUUAUGCAUCGGGCGAGAUUCGAAACUGGGACCCCGGAUUCUCAGGCGAGCUUGGAGGAUUCUGCUGCAAGUGCUCGCGCACGGUUGAAGAAGAAUAGGAGCGCUACUGGCAAGAGGGCCCACCUACAGGACACCGCGCCAACGUGCUUGCAUGGACAGAAAAGAUAGAAACGGAGACUGGAGUGAUGGCCCCACCCGUCAGCGCAGUUUAUGUGGAAUCAGUUGGGCCGCGCGGGUGAGGAACUGGCUAGGCCGAAUUGGCCGGCACGACCCAUUUAGUUUAGAAUUCUUUCUCUAUUUCUUUUCUUAUUUUCUUCCUUUUCCUUUUAAUUUCUAAAAUUCAAAUUUGAAUUCAACUUUUAAUUGUGAACUCUUGCUCAUUUUAAAUGUACAAAUUGAAGCCAUUAAUAUGGAAGGUCUAACUAUUUUUUUAUAUUUAUAUUUUCUUUAUCUUUGCUUGGUAUUCUCCUUUUUUCUCCACAUUUUAAUUUCCAAAUUUAGGUUUAAAUUCAAAUUUGUACAUGAUUGGAUUUUUAUUAAUAUCUUCAUUAUUAUUAUCAAAUGCACACACAUAUAAACUCCAACAUGAUGCAAUAGAUAUAUAUUUAUUUUAAUUGAUUUAUUUGUUUGGUAGAUGUUCGAAAUAUGCAAAACACUCAUAUUGUUUUCUUUCUUCUUAGGAAAAUAAUAUUUUGAAGGUGGGAUAAGAAGUAAAAUUUACUUUAGAAUUAAGUAAUCAUGUAAAUAAAUGCUUAUGGUACAUCAUCUAUUGAUAUGCAUAAUCAUUUAGUUGAAUAGAAAUCUAAUCUAUUACUUCUCUUCUGAGAUAAUUCUUGGAUUCCAAAACUCAGUCCUCAAAUUUCAACACUCAGGUAUACUUUGAGAUAUCUGAAUUUACUAUUUUCUUUCUUCAUAUAUUUACUUUAUUUUUUUUUCUAUACAGAUUUUGGGCCUUACACGUGCCCUUUGGUCGAACGGUCCGCACAAGAACUUAGGGACUAUGCAAAAAUGGGACCCUUCCUGUUAAAUAUUGUCAGAUGGCCUAACCCCUUAGCCUGGACAGUCUGCAGUACAAACACUUCGAACCACUCCGAAGAACACAUACUUCUACACAACUUUGGACUAGUCUAAAGGCACGCGGACGAUCCAGCCUCCUGACCCAGAUGGUUUGCCCUUUAGACAACUUCACCACUUUUCAAACACGCUUUUGAAAAGUUUUCUUUCGCAAAUUCAGAAGUAUUGUUAGUCCUCAUGCACAUGCAACAUCUAUAUGCUCGAUGAGGUACUAAGUUUCGUAUCAAGCAAACAUCCUUGACUCCUCUUGGUAGUACGUCUAUCUAGCUUACUAACCUGCUCAAUUUACUUCUCUAAUCACCUUUUGACCGGCAAAAGUAAAAUCCUACUCAUUACCUUUGCCUAGAGCCAUUCCACAAUCAAUACCAAAGUCCCCAAGGCUUUCAAUGUAGCUCAACUUCUAGUGGUCCAACUUGCAUUCUUAUUUCUCCAAGAAUCCGUUAGUCCACAAAUAAUUAUCAUUAAUUACCAAAAUAGUACUAAAGGUCUAGAUGCUUCACAAUCUCCCCAUUUUUGGUAAUUGAUGACAACACUACACUUUCAGUGGUCGGUUCAGUUUUUCAAAUCUUCCCCAUACACUAGGUAUAAGAAGGAUUUGAGAGUGAGUUUCGAGUAACUUAUCUUUACUUUGACGCUCCAUAUUAGAUGUAGAUAAGCCAUUUCAAAACUCAAAGCGUCGGGAUAGCUCCCCCUACAUGUGCGCAUGAUAUAUCCAUUUUGAUUUGCACACACAUAUAAGAUCAAAGUUUUUGGUAGAGUUCCCUACAACAUGGUUAACGAGGCACAAUAUAUAGCAUGAUUCAAAAGAUUAGGCAUAAACAGUUAUAACCCCUCGAUCAACCAACAUGUUAGGAUUUGAUAGCAAUGAAUAGUCAAAAAAUAUUUAAAAAUCAACAAUCAUAACAUAAAGCAAAAAAUAGUCACAACAUAACCAAUAUAGUCCAUGACAUUAAUGCAUAAACUUAAGCAAAUGCAUAAAAGUAACAUAAUGUUCAUGCACAUGUCCAUGAGCUCCCCCUAACACCAACACUCCAACUCCCCCUAUUUCCAAUCUCUCCCCUUUGACAUCAAUUGCCACAAAGGAGGGCUUCUACUGACCACAAGAAAGAGAAUGAGGGUACACUAAGUAGAAGUGACUACUGAAGCUAUCAAAGAUUGAGGUGAAUCAACUGAAGUCAUUCUGGAUAUUAUGAUGUCUCUAAUCUAACUCAUGUAUGCUAUCUUGAGUGGACAAUGUCUCAAACUCAUUAAAGAGAGCGCUCAUGUUAUCCUAGAAGGUCUGCUGCAUAUUAUUCAUCCUGGUCAUGAUAGGAUCAUGCACCUGUUCAAAGACAUGGUUACGAAGCUCUUCAAAACUGCUAGUGAUCCCAUUAAUUUGUUCAGAAGAGAGCCAAAUCUAAAGUUCAUCUCUCUGAACUGCCCAUCCACAUGGGCCCUCAUGUCCUGGAACUGCCUCUGCAUAUAUGUCCUCAUACCUUGGAAUUGGGGUUCCAUGCAAUCUUGCAUCCCCUGCUGCAUAUGUUGAAAAUAAGUGUCAAAGUAGCCAGAGGUGGCUGCCAAUACUGUUGUUGCUGUAGAGGAGGUAGCGUCUGUUGAGUUGCUACAUCUUGUGGAGUAUCUUGCUCCUCCUCAUCAUCACCAACACCUUGAUCCUGAUCUAGGAAUGGAGUCAGGGGCCUAUGGAGAAAAGUAGAGCUCGUGUUCAGCCAGCAGCUCGCCUCGCCGGGUGAGCAUUUCCUCCCUGAAGGCAAGAUCCUUCUCCCGCAUGGCGAGGUCCAUCUCCCGCCUGGCGAGGUCCAUCUCCCGCCUGUCCAAGGACUCUCCCUUCGCUUUAAGCUUCUCCUCGGCGAGGGCGGCAUCGUUGGCCUUACCCUCGAGCUCCUGUUGUAACUUUUGCAGCCCCUCCACAUCCGUGGUCUGCUGGAUCCACUGCUCUUCCAGGAUCUUGUCCAGGGCACUCAUCUUGGUCCGGAGCUUUGUUGCGAGGGCCUCCCGCUGAGACACGACCUCCUCCCUCCUAGCCAACUUCUUCUCCCUCCAGGACGCCUCCAGCUCCUGGGCGUACACCUUCUGGAGGUCCCUUUUGUAAUCCUUGCGGUCCCGCUGGAGCUUAGACUGCUCGGAGGCGAACUGGCGGGACGCCGCCUUGGUGCGCUCCUCCAGCUGGGUGCGCUAGUCGCUGAGGCGCUGGUGCUCAGCCUCAAGCACCUCCCACUCCCGCAGGAUCGCCGCCUCAGUCUCAUGAAGAGCCUGAUGGGCACAAGAUAGCACCCAGGGGAGGGGAACUGGCGCUGCUUCUGGCUCGGCACCGGACCGGAGCCGCCGCCCAAAAACCACCUCCAUCUCCUCCGGAGUGGGCAGCGGGAUGGAGCUAGACGCGCCACCCGCGUCACCCUCAAUGCUGGGGGUGGGCGCAGUUGGGCCCUCCUCCGCCGCUGCCGAUGGUGUACUCGACGACAUCACCGUCGUUGAGGCUGCGGUAGCCGUAAGUGCAGUUGGGACCUCCUCCGCCGCUGUGACGCCGCUUGACGUUGGCGCCGCUGCAGCCGGACCCCCAGCUGGAGCAUGGGAGCCCGGUGGCGCUGUCUCACCGGCAGUAGCCGAGGGCGGAUCACCGGCACCACUCCCAGCAGAUGCCUGCUGCUGAGAGCCAGACCCACCAGCGGGCAUGGUAUCUGGCAGAGGAGGCGCGACCUUGGGAGCAGAGGGGGAGGAAGUCCUAACAAGCAAAGGAUGGGUUAAGACCCAUCAGCAUGAUAAAUAGACUAAUGGAAAAAAGGAGCUACACUCACUUAGGGCCCUGGACUUUCCAGCAACCCUGGAAGCGGGACGACCGCCGCUCUUGUUGUUGCUGCUGCUGGUGCCCCUGGGGGAGAUCACCCCCAGGUGGUGGUGGUGGCGGCGGGACCGAUGGCGGCGGGACCGAUGGCGGCGGUGGUGGUGGUGGCGGAGGACUCACACGCCUCUACGUGCCCUGGGCCAAGGAGCCGGCCUCCUUGGCCCCACCAUCAGUCCUCUGACUCUUCUGGGGGGCUCCGAAACAAGAGACCCAUCAGCGCGACGCAGCCGGCGUCGCCUCUCUUCCUCCGACCCCCUAGUACCACCUGGGGCGGAGGAGCUGCUUACAGGUCCCUUGCCCCUGUCCAUGGAGCUAGGGGCCACGACGGGACCGGCACUAGGAGCCCCACUAGCGGGCUGGGGACCCCCAGCCGGUACACUAGGGAUCUGGAUCACGCGGAGGGUGUCCCGACCGCCGGUCUGGCGAACCGUCACGCCGCUCUCAUCGAGGGUCGGCAGCAUGGUCAGCACCGUCGUUCGCAGCCCUGGAUCAUCAUAGAGCGCUGGAAUGUCCUGGGGGAGUAUCAAGGAUUCAGGGAUAAAGGACUCACCAGUAAUCCCCUUCACCAGGAGUUCCAGCUCCUCCCAGGACAGAUCGGUACCCGGCCCGCACUGGAUCUUGUCGAUAUCAUUCGGGCCAGUGAACCAAUAGCACAGGCGCGGCCUCCUCUGUAGCGGCAUGACCCGGCGCUUCAGGAAGUCGCCGACCACAUGCAUGGAGAUCAGACCACCGGUUGCCAAGGUCUUGAUCCUGUCCAGUACGGGCAGGAGCUCUAGCGAUAGCGAUGGCUUGGUUCUCCAGUGCUUGCGGUCGAGGGAUGGCCCGUUGCUCGGCAGGACGAGGCGGUCGUUGGCUUCGGCGCUGGCGAUCACCCAGUCGGCGCGCCAGUUUUCCCACCUCGCGCCGCCGAAGGUGGAGAUGUAGGCUACGGCCGAAUCCGGUCUCGUCUGAAAGUAGUAGGCACCAAGAUGGUCCCUAGCCUUCACAGACUUGACCAGCACGAAGAAAUGGCGGAAGAGGGAAGUGCAGGGGCCACCCCUACGAACAUCUCGCAGAGGUGGACGAAGAUGGCCGCUUGGAUGAUGGAGUGGGGCGUAAGGUGCUGAAGCUGGAGCCCGAACUCUUCCAACAGCAGCAGGAAGAAAGGCGAGAUCAGCAGAGCCAACCCGCAGGAGACAUAGGAGACGAACAGAACAAACUCCCCGAAGGCAAGAUCGCCGAGGGGAGCAGCGCCGGCGCGGAUCCUUACGGCGUACGCUGGCGCGCUCCACCCAAGCAGGCCGCGCACCAGGUUGAGCGCUGCCUCAGACUGGAAGCGGUCGGGGUGGUCAAGUGAAGCCAUGGCAUGCAUGGUGGCACGGGUGUGAAACUGAGGAGCGCGAAGGCAAAAGGGCACAGUCGGCGACGCGGGUGUGGAAUGAAGGAGCAGGAAGGCGAAAGGGCGCAAUCGGUUGGAAGAGAAUGCAAAAGGGUAACUACUACACGCGGGGUGAACCCUUUUUCAAGGAAACCAGAGUCCUCGCUCAAGAAAACCCUUUCGCGCGCCCCUCAAUCGCUGCAAGAGAUCACGCGCGACGGGCACCUAGAUCCAGGAAGCCCAGUCUAUGACACGGGGGGCCCGGGUCCACAAGUCAUACACUUUGCGAGUCGGAUUUCGGGUGCAGAAGAAACGAACCACCGCACACGCUUGAAGAGCGAACCGUCGCACGCGGUAGCGCGCCUCUUCAUUUUCCGCCGCAAAAGACAACAGCCCAGUCUAUGACACGGGGGCCAGGCCCAUGGGUCAUACUCUUUGAGUGCCGGUUCUCGGGUGCAGAAAGAGCGAACCGCCGCACGCGCCGAUAGUGCGCCUCCUCGGGGCUGCGGCAAAAGACAGAGAAGGUAAUUUUUUUAAAAACCAAUCCAGCGGUAUCGAGGCGCCCCACGCGUGGCCCGACGAAACCACCAGGCGUGGGGGCCACGGGUCAGUCACCGCGAGGACAAAUAUGGCAGUUGGCGUGACCUAAGGUAGAUUGAUGGUGGGUGCAUCAGCAGACGCGCUGAAACGGCGCGCCAAUCGUCAAUCACGCCAUGUCGAAGCAAAGUACAAGUUUUGGCCCCACCUGCAGGCUCGCAUCCUCCCCUGAGGUGGGCUGGGGGCCACUGUCGAUACCCUGAAACUAGGGUACCCCUUACUACUGUAUGAAGACGCAGUACCCACGCGGCUAUCUUUGGUCACGUGGUAAAGGAGCUUUAUGUGGGACCAGACCAUGACUCGCCCUAGCCUCGAGCGAUUACUCUAGGACAGCAAUAGCGCCUGACCCCACCACGUGGGUGGCUUCGGGGCCGCUACGUGGCCAGAUAAAGUGAUAUACUCCAAGGCGUCAACAAUGAGUCCGGAUCCCCAUGGGAAAGUGCUGGACCCCUGGAUAUACAGUCUGGACCUCCAAGUUGGUUCAGGACCCCCACGUGUACGGACCGGACCCCCCACGUGUACGGACUGGACCUCUAGAAUGGGAUCCAGACCCCCACAGUAGGGUCCCAAGACCUUACUUAAGGCCCAGGCGGGGGUCCGGAGCUGACACGUGUCCGGACCUGCUCUGGUGCGCUCCGGACCUAUCCGCAUACACUCUUGCUCCCUGCUCAGGCGGAGCCCCGAUGCUGCCACGUGGCGUACUGCGCGCGGCAUAAGCCAACGGGCGGAACCCGGCGUGAUGCCUCUGGGCUACGCGCGCCUUCAUGAUGGAUAAUACAUACGCAUGUCCAUUCCACUGACAGUGUGCUCAGUCCACGAUACGUGGGCCGCACAGUUACUCACCAUUACUCCGGUAUUACUCGUACGGUAACUGCCCAUCAAUACUGUGUGGAUUGCGGUCAUCAUGGCGCCCGGUGAUUACUCAGGUGUUAUUAGCAUUAAUUACUCACAUAAUGUAUUCCUUUCAUUAUGCUCCUGGGCCCGCAUGUCGGGGCUCAACACCCUUGUACGUGCCUCCCUUAAACUAUAAAAGGGAAGGCACAUCGCGUUACAAAGGGGGGUAUACACAGACUCUCAAGUUCACACACGCUCAUACUCAUACUCAAUACAUCAUACACACAGUGGAGGUAGGGUAUUACGCUCCGGCGGCCUGAACCACUCUAAACCCUCGUGUCCUCGUGUAUUCAUCCACCUUCCAACAGACAGACAAACCGCUUAGGGCCCCUCCUCAUUCUUAGGAUUAGGGCGGGUGCGUUCCGCCACCCGGCCGGUGGAAUUCUUCCCACUGACAGUUUCUAUUUUUAUGUAGAUCCAAAAAUUAUGCCAAAUCUUGGGAGUUUCCAUUGCAUGCGCGCAAAUUUUGGAUUAUAUUUUCCUUUACAUUGCACGCGCACAAAAAACUAGAUAACAUGAGUCACAUAGAGCAUAAAUUCAUAUACAACAUCGUAUAAAUACUAACACCGUGUACAUAAUUGAUAAAAAAUAUAAUAUCAGUCCAACUAAGAACGCCAGUGGGAAUUAGGGACAAUUUUAUGGCAGACGUAAAAAUCUGGCAGUUACGAUCAUAGGUGUUGGGGGCCUUCGUCUUCCGAAGGUCCUCAAAAACAUGAUUUAACAAUGUUUCUGGAGUAUAAUACAUGAAUAGGUACCUUCGGACUUGGAUCAGAACCACAGCGUGAAGAAGCACAAAGAAUACGAAGGUUGGCGCAGAGCCGAAGCUAUGCGCAGGGGAGCUUCGGCAUGAUAGCAGAAAAGGGAACCAACUUAAAAGGGAAAAGACUAUUUAGACCUUGAUGGAUCACUAUAGAGUCAUUAGCAAAUGUAAAGGGCAUGGGUGUAAUUUUACAUGGGCUGCAUCUCGUGCCUAUAAAUAGAUGAACAGUGCUCCCGUACUAUUCACGCUGACUGGGCAUUUGCUUUUGCGUCACGCUUGUACCCUUACCUUCUUUCAAGCCGAAGGUACAUUUGUAAUUUGAUAUCAUUUCUAUUUUUCUAUGAUAAUAAAAUAGAAAUGAGUCAGUAUUAAUAUUCAUGUUAUCUUUUACAUUUCAUAUGAUUCUCUUUCUGUUAUCAUACGUUGUACUGAUGAAGGUAUGUCCUUCAUAACCUUUGUCCGAAGAUCAUUAUAUCCUAAGGGAAAUAAUGCCUCGAAGGACGAAGGGCGUUAAUGUUUAACAUUCUAUGUGUUGCCUUGUUCUUAACUCAUAGCAUUUGAGAACAAGUCCCCAACAUUGGCGCCCACCUCCGGUGAAUCCUUUUCGACCACCUUCGGCAAGCACUGACCUUCGUCAUGCCACCGAAGAAAGGUUCAGUGACAGGGGCUACCGCUCUGCAGCCACUGGACCCGAACCAGGAGACCCUUUCUCUUCGAGAGGCCUGAAGCCAGAAGAGGAAGGCCAGUAGUCCAACACCCCAGGAGGACGAGUUGGACCAAGAAAUCAGAAACAUGGAGAUGCUUCAUCAACAAGUACAAAGGAAGAAGGAGAAGAUGGCUAGACUUGCCGACCUUCAAAGGCAGAUUGACGAAGCCACUGAAGAAGUACGCCAUCUUGCUCAAGUUGAACAAGAACGAAGGCCCCAACACAGGGAGCUUCAUCAAGAAGGCUUGUUCGAUGAUGAUGGAUGGUAUGAUGAUUUUAAUUAUGGUACCUUUACUUUUGAUGAUGCUUCUCCCCUGGCAGCAGAACUGCAGGCUAUGCCAUGGCCCCCAUCGUAUAAGCCACCUCAGCUUCCGAUGUAUGAUGGGCAUUCAGACCCGAAGCAGUUUUUGAUGAGCUAUGAAGCAACUAUAUCUUCAUACGGAGGCAAUGUAGUUGUCAUGGCCAAGUCCUUCAUCAUGGCAGUUAAGAAUGUGGCCCAAACAUGGUAUUCUUUUCUUCAGUCAGGAACUAUUACUUCAUGGCAGAAGCUCAAGGAUAUGCUGGUAACAAGUUUCCAGGGCUUUCAGACGAAGCCAGUUACAGCUUAGGCUUUGUUUCAAUGCACGCAAGACCAUGAGGAGUAUCUCCAGGCAUACGUCCAAAGGUUCUUGCACCUGAGAGCACAAGUGCCUACAGUGCCCAAUGAAAUUGUCAUUGAGGCCAUGAUUAAGGGGCUUCGUCCAGGACCUACUGCCCAGUAUUUUGCCAGAAAGCCUCCAUAGACUUUGGAGAAGCUGCUUCAAAAGAUGGAUGAAUACAUCCGCGCUGACAAUGAUUUUUGUCAAAGACGGGAGGAAGCCUACAGGUUCUCUGAGAUGACCAGGGGCUUCGAAGGGAUAAUCCACCCAAGGCAUGUCAGGUCAAUCCACUCCACUCAGAGUGACAACAGAGGAAGUCAGCAAUAGAGGCCACAAUAUUCCUCGCAAGCUUCGGGGCAGCAACAAAGCUAUCUUCGGCCGCCAGCUCCAAGAGGCAGAGGCGCCAGGGGCUUCGGAGGAAGGUUUGGGGAUCAACCUAGGAAAAUUUAUUACUUAUUCUGUGGUAAGGACAAGGGCCAUACUACAAGGAUGUGCCAUGUCACCAUUCAGAAACAAAAGGAAAUAGCAGAAGUCGCAGCUCAACAGAACCAGCCGAAGCAAGUCAUGCACAUUGCUUCGUAUCACUCACCCUACAUACCAGAGUAUGUGGGUAACCAUCCUGCAGCAUCUGUUGCUUCGGCUAGCCAGCCACAAGCAUCUUGGCCACAACCUCCACCUCCGCCACCACUACAACCUGCAUAUCCACGAGGACAGCAGCCAGAAGGGAGCCAACAGGCCCACCAUCAGCGAGAUUUUAGGGAGGAGUCCGAAGCUCGCAUAGUCAACAGUACUGUGCCAGAAUUAGAGCAUAUUUAUUGAGAGAUAUCCUACCCCUGAAACAGUUUUUAUAUUCAUUGUCAUUUUCUUUCUUACUAAGGAACAGUUAUCAAAAACCUAGUUUUCGUGUCAUUUUCAAUUCCUUGUAAUAGCUUCGUUUUUGCCAUAAUAAAAAUAUAUCUUCUCUACAAACUUACGGAGUCUAAAAAAGUCGCUGGAGCACAAAAAGUCGUUUCUAAGAGAACGCGCGGCUAAAAAUUACAAGUAUCUCCGAAGCUACAAAAAGUCAUUCUACGGAGCACAGUGCAAGUUUGUCGAAGCUACAAAAAUUCGUUCUACAGAACACAGUGUAAGUUUGCUGAAGCUACAAAAAGUCAUUCCUAAGGGAGUGCAGUGUAAGUUUUCUGCUCAAAAGUCGUUUCAAAGGGAAUGCAGAGCCAAAUACCGCCGAAAUAUAAGGCGAAGCGCGAAAAGUCAACGCGAAUACUGCCGAAAUAGAAGGCGAAGAAGUUCAAAAGACGUUCCUAAGGAAAUGCAGAACUUACAGCGAAAAGUCAGCGCCGAUACACCAAAAAAUAAGCGGUGAAGCCGAAAAAUAAACGGCAAAGAGAUUGUGUAUUCCACUAUGGAGAUACGUGUGUGUCUUCGGCACAAAUAUCAUUUUGCAUAGCAUAACAUCAUCACAUCAUUUUGCAUAACCUAACAUCAUACAUCAUAUUGCAUCAAUGGCACAAGAAGGGGAUACAAUGUUGACCUUCGGAGAAUGCUUCGAGAAAGUGAAAUUGUGCUAAGGCACAAAAUAAGUUUUGAAGAAAUACAGCUUCAUCAGUUCUGAUAUGGAGGAAAAAAUCUAUUGUUGACGAAGCAUUAAUAUUUUGGCAAUGCUUGAACGACUUUUUACGAAGUACUCUGAUGAGGAGGAAAAAAUCCAUUAUUGACGAAGCAUUAAUGUUUUUGCGACGAUUGGAGGAUUUCUCACGAAGCAUAAAAGAUCUUCUUUACGAAGCAUGAAAAGAAGGGAAGGUGUUUUUUUCGCCGAAGGCUCAAAAACGGUAUGUACAUAAAAGUUUCAUGCAUCAUAAAGAAAUAAAUUACAAAACCAUUCAUAUAUUACAUUCAAAGCCCAUGAGCACCAAAUAUUACAAACAUAGUUCAGCAAGUGUUACAUUCAUAUUCUGGCAAUGUUUUUACAAAUAGUUAUUCUUCUUCUUUCAAAACUUUAUCUGCAGCCUCGGUCAGCAGUUGGGUAACAACUUCGUCCAUAAUAGUUUCGGCCAUGCUAAUAAUUUCUGCUGAUUCCUUUGCCUCUAGGUCGGCCAAUGACUCGAAGGGCUUGGGGAGAGGAGAUAGUUCAGCUGCGGUAGAAAACAUAAAUCAAUUUGAAGUCACAAAAAUAAACAAUAAAGUUAAAACCCAUUAAGCAAUACCUAUUCGCCUUUCGAGUUCCGCAGCUUUUUCAGCUGCCUUCGUUGCUUCCCUAGCGUCAUGGGCAUCUUUUUCGCUCUUCUUUAUUAUUUCAUGGGCCAUCCCUCGGCCGCCAUUUUCUUAGAUGUCAGUAAAAAAAUUUCGCCUAUUAAGCUUGCUUCGGCCGAGGGGUCCUUCGUAUCGUCAACCGAUAAAGCAGCUUCGGCUUGGGCCAAAGUUUUCACAUGAUCGCAACCUGACUUCUCCAAAAUAGCUGCAAUUCCCCUCGCACCAGUGAAGGCACAAACGUCCCCACGGUCACUCAAAAUCUCCUCAAAGGCUUCGGCCUCGCUGCUGAUCCAAUCAAUUGGGCCUUCGGGAUCGCCCCGUAUGAAGUUAUCUUCACUUGAAUAUGCGCCAACAUUGGCGAAGCUAGUUUUUAUCUUCUUCACACAUUCCACAGACUUUUCAUAACAUCUUUCUUUUGAUGAACGAAGUUCUGCAACUGUUUUUUCCCAAUAAUUUUUCCAGUAGUCACUAGCAUCUCGAUCAGCUUCGGCAAUAGUGCAUUUCAAUUUAGCUUCGGCCAGUUGCUUUUGGAGGUUUUCAAUCUCGUUCCUUUGGAUUUCAGAUUGGGUCUUGUAGUUAGCUUUAUCCCCUUUUACCUUGUCUACCAAUGUAAGUAGAAUUUUAUCUUUUUCUAAAGCUUCGUUCCUCAGCUUAAUAACCUCUGUUCGAAUGUUGUUGAAAGCAAUAGUGUAGCUCUCGUCCUCGGCAUUCUUUUGCGCCCUCAAGGCGUUGCUAAGUAUUAAACCCUAUAUGAAAAGAAUUAGUAUAAGAGCAAAAGAAUAAUUCAAAGUUUAUAAACUUCCAAUUAUACAAUUUUUGUACCUUCAGACUGUUAUAUGCGAGGCUAUCUGUAAGAUCGUCCUUUGUCAUAGCGCAGAGGCCAGCUUCAAGCUUCGGGAACCCCAUACUUCUGGCCAUCUCCCGGCAGACAGAUAAUUCUUUGUUGUCUAGGAGGCAAUAUAAGAAGUCAUCUUCGUCUGUGCCAUUGAACACUAAGGCCCCUUUCGGAUACUUCAGUUCUCGGGCAUAGUGUUUAGCUUCAAAAAUCUCUUCUUCAGAUAAUCUUUUUCCCGAAGCAUGUCGUAUAAUAUAAUCAAGAACUGCGGAAGGUGCUUCGGGAGUAGGAGUGGCAGUUUUUUCAGGCAGAAUUUGUUCUACAGCUUCUUUUUCCGUUUCCUUUUCUCCGGUUUCCAAGGAUUUCUCCUUGGCGGGCUCUGAAGGCCCAGCUUCGGUCUCGGCCUGGCUCUUUGUAGCUUCGGCUUCGGUCAGUUUUGUCUCAGUCUGCGCUUUUGAAGCCUCGGCAGUUUUCCCUAGAGUAGAACUUGAAGUUUUUAUCGUCUCCAGCACAUCUAGUACACUGGUCAUCCUUUUCCUCUUGGGGGUCGCUGUAAGACCUUUUUGCACCUUCGGCACUGUCACUUCUGCCGAAGGGCUUACAACUUCUAAUAUUUUUGUUCCUUCGACUCCUAUCUCUUCAAUAUUAUCGGCCUUCGGCUCAGCUAAUUUGGCUGAGGAUGCCUUUGCCAUUGCAGCCGGCUCUUCAAUCCUCUGCGUAAGCGCAGGUUCUUUGGCUUCAGUAGCCGAAGAGGUCUCACCGCCAAAUUCAGGCACUGUGGCCGGUUCAAUAUAGCGCGGUCGGCGAGUAAGAACCUUCACCUUUUUCCUCUUCGGCGUGGGCUCGCUUGGAGCAGCUGAAGCAGCAUCCUUCCCAGAAGUUGCACUCUUUCUCUUCUGCCCCUGUGGCGGGUAGCGGUAGUCAGGAUACAUAAAUCCAAUAGCAUCAAAAACUCUAUUUAGCCUCUUCUUUUUUCGGCUCCCGAAGGCCGCAGAUAGUGUGUUAUCUUUAGACUUGGAGUAGGCUCCAAGUAGUUCAUCACUAGUGUUUUCAACACACUUCAGCCAGUCAUCGUAUGGUUCGAUAAAUUGGUCUCUAAACCUGAAGGUAUAUUUCAAUCGAACCAAACCACCUUUGUUAGGUUUGCUGAUGGUCUCUUUUGGCAUCUCCCAGUUGUCUAUCAAUGGCCAUAUCCUGCAGGCCACGUGCUCUUGGACUAAGUCCCUUGUCCCAAUAAAUGCGCAGACUGUGCUGAAGGCCCUUUGGCAUGCUUCGGCUGCCUCAUCAAUCUCUACCUUCAGCUUUCGGAGGCCGAAGCGCGACCAGAUGGGACACAUGAUGAUUCCUUUAAUAUCUUCUCUUGCUUUUAAAUCAUUCUUCACGUAAAACCACUCCUCCAUCCAGGCUCCGGGCCAUCUCUUUCGAAAGGUUGGUACUGGGUAGCUUGAGCCAGAACGAGCAACGAAGCUGUAGCAACCAAAAUUGGUAUGGUACUGUUCUUUACCCCAGGCUUUCGUUUCAUAGCACAAUUCAUGCAUGCUGCAAAAGCAUUUUGCACUUGGCUCUAGACCUUGACUUCUCACGGCCCAGACGAAGAUCCCCAUUCUAAUAAUUGCUUCGGGAGUAAUCUGGUGAAGGAAAAUCUCAUAAAUCUUUAAAACUUCAACCAAAAAUCUGCUUAGGGGGAACCGAAGUCUAGCUUUGAAGAAGCUUCGGUAGAUUACGACUUCAUUUUCUUCGGGAACAGGAACAGUCCUGUCUCCGUUGUCAGCCCUCACAAUAGACAUAUCUCAAAAAUACCUUCCUCUCAUAUUAUCAAGAUGACUCUGUCUGAUAGUCGAUUUUCCGAAGACUGCGUGACUUGGUCGCCAGGGCCGAUCUUCGGAGUCUUCGCCCCCACUUUCCGCAUCAUAACUAUCGCUGUCGUCGGUAUCUUCAGAUAAGCCUUCUAGAAUUUCUUUUGUAAACUUUUCUGUAUUUGUCUUUGCAAUUGACUCAAUGAAUCAAGCAGUCUUUUCCUCAAGAAGCUUCUCCUCUUCGGUUAGCUUCAUUUCAGCAACUGUCUUCUUGUCUUGAGACAUCUUAUCUUCGGAACUGACGAAAAUAUGUCCUUAAAUCCGAAGCUCAGAAAAUUUAAGAAACUAAGCAACUGUUGGAAAGCAAGAGCUGAGAAAUCAAGCAAAGCAAAGCAGGCGUACCAAAUGUGCUCGAGGUGAGUUCUUAUUUAUACGCCCAGCGCACUCCAAGUUGGAGGGCCUCGCCUGUCAUUGACUGUUGCUAUUCUAGCAAAGGGAAGGUGUUUUUUCGGACCUUCGGCUUAGGGCCUUCGUCCAUAUCGCAAUCUGAAUUCAUUAUUCUAACAAAUUAACAUUGCGAGGGGCUACUGUUGGGGGCCUUCGUCUUCCGAAGGUCCUCAAAAACAUGAUUUAACAAUGUUUCUGGAGUAUAAUACAUGAACAGGUACCUUCGGACUCGGAUCAGAACCACAGCGUGAAGAAGCACAAAGAAUACGAAGGUUGGCGCAGAGCCGAAGCUAUACGCAGGGGAGCUUCGGCAUGAUAGCAGAAAAGGGAACCGACUUAAAAGGGAAAAGACUAUUUAGACCUCGAUGGAUCACUAUAGAGUCAUUAGCAAAUGUAAAGGGCAUGGGUGUAAUUUUACAUGGGCUGCGUCCCGUGCCUAUAAAUAGAUGAACAGUGCUCCCGUACUGUUCACGCUGACUGGGCAUUUGCUUUUGUGUCACGCUUGUACCCUUACCUUCUUUCAAGUCGAAGGUACAUUUGUAAUUUGAUAUCAUUUCUAUUUUUCUAUGAUAAUAAAAUAGAAAUGAGUCGGUAAUAAUACAUAAUUAUUCAUGUUAUCUUUUACAUUCCAUAUGAUUCUCUUUUGUUAUCAUACGUUGUACUGAUGAAGGUAUGUCCUUCAUAACCUUCGUCCGAAGAUCAUUAUAUCCUAAGGGAAAUAAUGCCUCGAAGGACGAAGGGCAUUAACGUUUAACAUUCUAUGUGUUGCCUUGUUCUUAACUCAUAGCAUUUGAGAACAAGUCCCCAACAAUAGGUGAUUUGAUUUGAUUUUUUAUGGUAAUUACGAACAGACGGGAAUUAGGGACAAUUUUAUGGCAGACGUAAAAAUCUGACAGUUAAAAACAUAAAUGAUUUGAUUUGGUUUUUUAUGGUAAUUACAAACAACAUAAAUCAAGGAAUUACACUUCCAAUGUAAAAAUAUGCAUACAGUAAACUAUAUACGGACUCCGUGUUCAAGCAUAAAAUCGUACAGUUUUUAGCGUAAAUAGUGCAGGUGGUAGGCAUAAAAUAUAAUAAUCGAAAGACAUAACACGAAUCGGAGGACGCCGUCGAGGACAUAAGAACGAAUGGAGGUCAUCACUCGGGCCGCCCGAACUGCGACGGAUCGGAGGAUGUCACGCGCGACCGUUGCUGCGCGCAUCUCGUGCCUUCCGUGACGCCGCUCGAACCUCGUGCCUCGUGUGGUGCCGUCGCUAGUCGCACGUCGGGGGGUGCCGCUUGCUCGCCCGCCUUGGGAGUGUCGCUGCCUCUUGCCCGCCUCGGGGCCCCGGGGUCGCCGUCGCUUGCCCUCUAGAUUGAGGAGCCACCGCCACCACGCCACCGAUCUAGGAACCGCCGCCACCGCGCGUCCGGGUCGGCGUGCCAUAUCCACCGCAGCUACCGGCCGCGGGUCCGUCACCAUGCACGCUCUCGGGCAACCGCCGCCGUUCCACGUGCACGCUCUCGGGCAACCGUCGCUCAUGAAUCGGGGGCGGGACGUGAAAAACUGAACCCUACUGUUCCGGGUCUUCUUUUAUAUACGCCCGAACCUGGUCUGGCUCGACUGUAUGGCACCAUCUGACCUGAGCUUACUUUAGUUAUUGGAAGCACAUGGCUCGUGUUUAUAUAUAUAUAUAUAUAUAUAUAUAUAUAUAUAUAUAUAUAUAUAUAUUAUAUAUAUAUAUAUAUAUAUAUAUAUAUAUAUAUAUAUAUAUAUAUAUAUAUAUAUUAUAUAUAUAUAUAUAUAUAUAUAUAUAUAUAUAUAGUUACAACUUACAACUACCUACUAAUGUGCAGCAGCUGCCUACUAAUGAGCGAGAGAAGAUGUCAAGGUUGACUAAGUAUAGUACUAGUUACCUCGAUCUAACGAUCAAGCCGUUAGUUAUAAUCUACAGAAGAUUUAAAAUUUGCGUGGGAUUUGAUCAAAUCAUCAUCACGCGCUUUCUGCCUUUGGGAGAGAAGGGUGCAGGGUAUAUAUGAAUAUAUCUCGAGUUCUCGACUUUCUUGUGUGAAAUGAUGAUAAAAUGAUCUUAGAAGGUCACCAAAUCUCUUGACUAAGUGCAAGGUACACGUUAAAGAAAAGAUUUAAAAAAAGAUUUUGAAUAAUUUACAGAUGUAUAUAAUAUCCCGACUUUCUUGUAUGAAAUGAUAAAACGAUCACCAAAUGUCUUGACUAAGUGCGAGCGAAAAGAUAGAAACAAGAAAAGUUCUAAAUAAAACUUAAUAGUUUGUUGACACCGUCCUCCAGGGCAAUUUGUGCCGGUACGGUGGUCAUGACCUCGUCGAAGUUAUUGUUACUUUCAGAGGAUUUUCUAAUUAAAGCAACCGUCGUUUUCUCUUAACAACUCUGCUUUUGCGUGAGAUUAUGCAUGAUAUAUAGCUGCUCCUGCUACGGUGUUAUGCUACCAAGUCUCUGUCUCUCGGUAACACGUAUACUUUGGUUGCAUUUCAAGUUGCAAUUCGCAUGCGGAUCUAUUCGCGAGUUUACAUUCUUGGCAACGACUGUUAUGCAAGCGUGCAAGUAAAUCAUCUGAUCCAUUAGAUCGUGAUUUAACCGUAAAUCACAUUUAACACUUAAAUCCUUCCACCACUAGCUCAAUAAUCUUUAUAAAAAAAUCUGUAACAAAUCAUAGUUGUAUCUGUGGUUGGAUCGUAAUCUAAUGGAUCAGAUGGUUUGCUUGCACGCUUGCACAGAAACACUGCUUGCAUAGCGGUUGUUGCCUUACAUUCUUUGGGUUAAUGCGCUAAUGUUGUGAUAACAAAAUCGGAAGUCGAGGCUGGACAUCUAAAGAAUGAUAACUGGAAAAUAAGCCGGUCUGACCAAUUUCGAUUUUUUCGAUUUCAGUUCUGGUUUUUCCGAUUUUGGUGUUCGGUUUUUAUGCCGAGGUCCGUCUACUCUCUCUUGCUUUUGAGAAUUCGAUGCGUGUGGCAAUUAAUUCAGAACAAGACAAGGUGCAUGCAUGUUUUGCAGAUGUUGUUAGGACUUUGGGAGUACGUAGUUUUAAUUUCAACGAUACGACGGUGCAUGGAAGGAGGGUCUACUGCCUAGCACACAUUAUAGGGGAAAUGCCAUGAUAUGAUUGGGACUCACUUGUUGACCGGGUGCAUAUAUAUGACAUGCACACGCCACCGCCAUCUUCUACUCCAUCCAACCGCGACAUCAUGCAGCUACUUCCACUUUAUAAAUAGAUCAGUGCCAUAUUCUUCCUCAUCAGCUUCAAUUCUCAGACACACAGCAAAAGCAAAGCAGCUUCCAUCGUCCACCUCCACCAUGGGGUCGGCGGCUUGGCUGGCAACGACAGUCGUCUUGGCGGCGCUCGCGGCCGCCGCCUCCUCGGUGGCGGUGGCGCACGCCUGGCCACCACCGGCGGAACUGGAGGUCGGCUUCUACAAGCACUCGUGCCCGCAGGCCGAGGAGAUCGUGCGCAACGCCGUCCAGCGCGGCCUGGCCCGGGAUUCGGGCGUCGGCGCGGGGCUCGUCCGCAUGCACUUCCACGACUGCUUCGUGCGCGGCUGCGACGGCUCCAUCCUCCUGGACUCCAUGCCGGGCAACGUGGCCGAGAAGGACUCCGUGGCGAACAACCCCAGCAUGCGCGGCUUCGACGUGGUGGACGACGCCAAGGCCGUCCUCGAGGCGCACUGCCCGCGCACCGUCUCCUGCGCCGACGUCGUGGCGUUCGCGGCCCACGACGGCGCCCACCUCGCCGGCGGCAUCGACUACGCCGUCCCCUCGGGCCGCCGCGACGGCCGCGUGUCCCGAGCCGACGAGGUGCUCGUCGACAACGUCCCGGCCCCGACCGACGACGUCGCCGAGCUCGUCGAGAGCUUCCGGCGCAAGGGGCUCUCCGCCGACGACAUGGUCACGCUCUCCGGCGCGCACACCAUCGGCCGCUCCCACUGCUCCUCCUUCACGUAGCGCCUCUACAACUUCAGCGGCCAGCUGGGGCGGACCGACCCGUCCCUCGACCCGGCCUACGCCGAGCACCUUAGGCACCGCUGCCCGUGGCCGUCCAGCGACGGCCAGAUGGACCCCACCGUGGUGCCCCUCGACCCGGUCACGCCGGCGACCUUCGACACCCAGUACUUCGAGAACGUCCUGGCGCACAGGGUCCUCUUCGUCUCCGACAGUACGCUGCUCCACAACCCCUGGACGGCCGGGAUCGUCCACUUCAACGCCGCGGUCGACAAGGCGUGGCAGGUCAAGUUCGCCCAGGCCAUGGUCAAGAUGGGCAAGGUCCAGGUGCUCACCGGCGACGAGGGAGAGAUCAGAGAGAAGUGCUUCGUCGUCAACCCACACUACUAGCUAACCAACUUUCUAGCAGUUGCGGCUCCAUUAUUUGUAAAGGGUAAUCCUAGUAGCCAAAAUUUCAUAUAUAAUGCGGUAAAGUUUAAUAGAAAUUUGACAUAUAUAACUAUAUGUUAAUUAAAUUGUAAUAAAACGUUUUCCUCAUAUUUCUAAAAAAUGAAAUACCAAAGCUAAAAUAGUACCAAAUUACCGCGUCAAUUUUGUGAAGAUAAAACUACCGCAUCAACACAACAGAACACAGAAGAAUGGGAUUUCUAUUGCUUUCCUCCUCAUUUUUUUUGAUAAAUCCAGACGAUUCAAACAUAUAUUGUCAAAGUCACAUAUUCCAAAGAUUUGCAUCUUCAUCACCCAAAAUUCACCGUAGUGUUUUCCUGACGAUCUUAGGAUAGGGGUUAUCACCCUGCUAAAAAAACUAGUGAUGCAUGGUUUAUCUGGACAGAUUUACUGUUUGGAAGCAAUGGCAGCUGGUGCGGGGAGAGUAUUUGCCUCGUGGGGGCCCAUGGAGACCCGAAAGUAGCCAUCACGAGAGGCCCAAUAGACAACCCAGCAAGUGAACUCAUAUGAAGCUGCAAGCUGCUAUGGUAUGGUAUGGUAUGUGCACAUGUGUGCUCGCUGAUGCUGCUGCCUGACGACCUUCAUUCGCUAGAGGAGGCAUUGCCUGACGACUUUUCUUGAAUGACCAUUCCAUCCUCUCUCUCUCUCUCUCCUCUCUCUCUCUCUCUCUCUGAAAUGAUUAUCCAUACCACCGCUGUCCACCGGUUUACAAAACCCAGUCAACCAAAUCAACCUCACACACAUAGCCGUCAUUAAAUCUACCAAACAAAUUACACUCAGACUUAACACACGGUUCAUGUCGCUGAAUAACCAUAUCUCAUUUACUCAAUCAAAUUCAAAUAUUCAAUGGACAAUAUUAUUUGGAUCAUACUUUAAACAUAUAUUUAGGCCAAAAUCAUUAAAAUUAUGUCCAAAUUUAUAUCAAAUUAAUAUACUUUAUCAUUUUUAUGAGGGGGGCUUAAGAUUAUCUCUACUUGGGAACUUAAGGUUAUCUUUGUAUAGACUAUUUAUUAGUAUUGGUAACUUAUUUGUAAUUUUCGGUCGACACUACGUUAUUUGAUGAUUUAAUUGUAUUUUGAUGAGUUUUCUACGACAAGAAAUUAUAUAAAUAGCCUCAAAAAAUCAUGAAAGUUUACGGAGGCACAACAUAUGUUCAUAUAUAACCAUAAAAAAUGUUUGGAUCAUAAGAUCUAUAAGAUGUCCGCGUUUCUUCCAUUUCACGUUUACUUAUUUGUAUGAGUUACAUGUGAAAUCACUAUAAGUAUCCAAGUUUCAACAUAAUCAGUACUUUACUUUAUCAUUUUCAUAUAAGGACUUGAGUUAUCUUCGUAUAAAAUGUUUAUUUGUUUUUUAACUUAUUUGCAAUUUUUGAGUGAAACUAGAAUAUUUUAUGAAUUUUUAAUAUUGUGGUGUUGGUUCUACAAUAUCCUUGUAAUUAGUAACCUUGAACUGCAUGAUGUCAAUUUUAUCGGUUUUCUUUCCUACAUUUGAUCUAUCAUAGACACGAUUAUGUAUUGCUUAAUUUAUGUAUUUGUUGGGUGGUUAGACAAUUAAUAUCAUCGGGGGAACUACCCGACAAUUAUCCGGUACCUACUUGAGUAGUAUUUGUUAUCCGUUUCUUACCCGCUCCGAUUAUUAUCCGGUCCCGUCCUGUAUCCGUCCCGAAUCUUAACUACCGUAUCCGAGCGAAAUACAUUAGGGUAGGAUACGGGAUGACCCUGUAUCCGGCUGUAUCCAUCUCGUUUUCAUCCCUAAAUUCAAUGGACAAUAUUAUUUGAAUCAUACUUUAUUCCUCCUCCUCUCCCUUCCCCGCGACUCGCCUCCCUCCUCCCCACCUCAUUCGCCCUGCUGCGACCAUCAAAACCACUACUCUACACACGUGCCGCCGCCACCGCCAUCGAGCCCUCUCCUAUCUAGGAUCGUAGCGCGUUAGCACGAGCAAUAUAUAUGAUAGUAUUAAUAAAGAGACAAAAAUUCCAUCCUUGCAUCACGCACGCCGAAACCAUCUACCUUAAAUUUGUUUUAUUAGUUUGUCCAUACUCCAUACAAGACGAGAUCACGAGAACAUGAUUAUGCACUACCGAAAUUCGGCUCUUUGCCGAGUGCCAAAUGUUUUGCCGAGUGUUUUUUCGGGCACUCGGCAAAAAAACUCUUUAUCGAGUGCCAAGCAAAAAACUCUCGGUAAAAGAAAACACUCGGCAAAGAAGCUCUUUGCCGAGUGUUUUUUCAACACUAGGCAAAGACAAUUUAAAAAUCAUAUUUUAAAGCAGUAAAUUAAUUCAAAUGAAAAAGUUUUCAACUACAAAUUUGUAUAACUCGUCUUGAAAAAUUAUGCAACUCUAUAGUUGACAAUAUUUUCAAUUAAAUUCAUUUAGUGCCUCAAAUAAUAAAAUUGCUCUAUGUUUGUUAUAAUAUAUGAGGAAUGAAAAUAUAAUAUAAGCACAUUUGAUGUAGUAGUGUAGUGGUAGAGAAGGUUAUGCGCACGUGAGAGGUUGCAAGUUUGAAUCUCACAUUCUCAAAACACGUAAAUUUGAUUCAAAAAAUGCUGAAAAAUGAUAGGACCGAUGCGCAGAGCAAUGGCGGUGGUUUGGGAAGUUGUUUCCCUAAUUUAAAAGAAAUGUUUUGCUGUUUUUUUAGUUUUUUUUGCAAUUCUUAAUUUACCGAGUGCUUUUCUUUGUCGAGUGUUUUUUGUUACCUGGUAAAGUAUCUGCCGAGUGCCCGAAAAAAAAUUCGAUAAAGAACCCUUUGCCGAUAAAAUGAUUGCUGAAUAUUCUUUGCUGAGUGUAACACUUCGCAAAGGCUUUGUCGAGUAUAUAAUGACUUUUGUCUAGUGUCUUAGAUACUCGGCAAAGAAGGCGAGUUUGGUAGUGAUAGUUUAUGUAAAAAUUCAGAGAAAGAUGAAGAACAUAUUAAUUAUUAUUCUAUCCGUUUCAAUUUAUAAUUUAUUUGAUUUUUUAGUAAGUUUUACCGACUCGUCUUAUUCAAUUUUUUUGCGAGAAAUAAAAAAUUCAAGGUCAUACUUAAAGUAUAUUAUAUGAUAAAUAAUAUUAUAAUAAAAACUAAUAAUCAUUAUAAUUUUUGAAUAUGGUGUGUCGGACUGUUUGUUAAACUUAAAGUAAAAAGUUAAACGAAUUAUAAAUUGAAAAGCGACGAUAAAAUGAAGAAGGAUCAACUGAACCGAUCGACACGAUGAUCCGCCUUGUAUAUAUAUACCAGUAGUAGUCACAAUUUUCGGUGCACGCUUUGCAGAUGCAUGCCACAGUGCUGGACUGCAGAAGAUAUAGGUAAUGGAUGAACGGAUGGGUGGAUCAGACGAUGAUCUAUCGAUCAGCGGUGGUUGACACAGCGGCAGGUCUUCCUGAUCUCGCCCUUGUUGUUGGGCGGCAUGGGCAGCUUGCUGAGCUUGAGGAGCGCGUCGGAGAAGUCCUCGUCCCACAGCGUGCCGUUCUCGGCGUACUCCUUGACGUGCCCCAGCGCCUCCUUGUUAGCAGAAUUUGCAGGUAAAGGAAGAACAGUAGGAAGAUAGGAGAAGGAGAAGUUGUCGUAUAGAACUGAAAGAGUUGGUAUAGAAUGAGUUUGUUAUGCUUUUUCUGAUUCCUCUCCUUUACCAGCUACUCCCCUAUAACCUCCAGCGUUACCCCAACUUGGAGCACACGUUCACACAUUCCGGCCACAUUCGGCCCACCAGACGCACAGCGUCUUACACACGCCAAUCCGGCCCAAACACCUUCACGCUUGCCUUCCUCACUCUUGUUCCCCUUCUAGUUUCCACAUCAGCCGGAACCCGAGCUCUUUUAUCUCCUUGCUUUGGUGCAUCCAUCCUCACAUUCCCCCUGGAAGAGACACUGCUUGUCCCCAAGCAGGUGCAAAUGGAAAGCUCUGUCGCAGGGCAAUAGCAUCCUCCCAUGUAGCUAAGGAUUCUGGCAUGGCCGACCACUUCACCAGCACUUGUGAUUUACCUUCAGAAUCCAGCCGGCGUUGCAGUAUGGCUUCGGGAACCUGAAUGUCAACCAUCUCUCCCGGUAGCUGAGAUACCUGCACUGCCGGACCCACUGCUUUUUUCAACUGAGAUACAUGAAAAACAGGAUGAAUAGAAGAUGAAGCUGGCAGUUGCAAACGGUAAGCAACAGUUCCCACUUUAGCCACUAUGGAAAAAGGGCCGAAAUAUUUAAAAGCCAGCUUUUGGUUCGCGCGGGGAGCCAAAGAGGAUUGCACAUAAGGUUGGAGCUUCAGAAAGACUUGGUCCCCCACAGCAAACGACCUUUCAGAACGCCCUUGAUCAGCUUGUUUCUUCAUCCUCAGCUGAGCUCUGGAUAAAUGUUGUUGGACCAGCUCAGACAUCACUGUUUUAUCUUGCAUCCAUUGAGCCAGAGAUGGAACAGGACAUGCAGCAUUGGCAUCCACACCAAAGUGUUUAGGAGUAUACCCAUACAGUACCUCAAAUGGGGAGAAACCCAAGGACGAAUGCCAACUGCAGUUAUACCAAUAUUCAGCCAAGUAUAUCCAAUCCACCCACUUAGAAGGGCAAGCGUGUACAAAACAGCGCAAAAACGUUUCCAUACACUGAUUGACCCUUUCAGUCUGUCCAUCGGAUUGUGGGUGAUAUGCACUACUCAUAUUUAAGGACACUCCAGCUAGUGAGAACAAGGAUUUCCACAAUUGACUAGUAAAAAUUCUAUCCCUGUCAGACACAAUUGCCAGAGGUAACCCAUGAAGUCUAUAUACUUGCUGCAUAAAAACUUUAGCUACUAUCGCAGCAGUAAAGGGGUGUUUGAGAGGAACAAAGUGGCUGAAUUUAGAAAAUUUAUCCACCACCACCAGCACACAAUUUUUGCCUCCUGACAUGGGUAAGCCCUCAACAAAAUCCAUGGAGAUAGUUUGCCAUGCCCCACUAGGAACUGGUAGAGGUUGGAGAAGCCCAGGAUAUUUAGAUCGGUCAGGUUUAGCUUGCUGACAAGUAGUACAAGCGGCCACAAAAUUUUGAACGCACUUCCGCAUACCAGGCCAGGAAAACAAUUGCUUCAGUCUGUGGUAUGUUACUGGGAACCCAGAGUGACCUCCCACUGCAGAGCAAUGCAUGGCUGUCAUCACAGUGUGAUGCAAUGUGACAUUGUUGCCUAACCAUAUUUUCCCUUUGUACCUGAGCAAACCAUCAUGCAAUUCGAAGUCAGGCACGGCCACAGGGUUGAGAGAUAACUUGGCCAAAAGUUCCUUGGACUCAGUGUCUUCCAAAUACCCAUCCAGGACUGCUUGGCACCACUGUGGUUUUAGUACUGAAAUUGCACAACGCUGGCCAUUAUCCGGGGCCCUUCGAGAUAAAGCAUCAGCCACCCUAUUAUCUGACCCUGGUUUGUACACAAUCUUAUACUGCAUGCCAAGUAACUUGGUAAACACUUUUUGUUGCCAAGGCGUAUUGAGUCUCUGCUCAUUCAAGUGGAUGAGACUUUUCUGGUCAGUGAAGAUCAGAAAUUCCCCAUGCAGCAAAUAAGGUCUCCAUUGCUCAAUUGCCAGCAAAAUAGCUAAAUAUUCUUUCUCAUAUGUGGACAAGCAUUGUGUCUUAACCCCCAAUGACUUGCUGAUGUAUGCCAAAGGGUGCCCAUCCUGUAACAACACAGCUCCAACCCCAUUCUUACAAGCAUCAGUUUCAAUACAAAACUGUUUGGAGAAGUUAGGUAGAGCCAAAACUGGGGCAGUGCUUAGGGCCUUUUUAACUGUGGAAAAUGCUAACUCCUGCUCAGCAGUCCACACAAACCACACACCCUUCUUAAGUAAGGCAGUGAGAGGUUUAGUAAUCAAAGCAAAAUGCUUGAUAAACUUUCUAUAGUAUCCUGCCAAACCUAAAAAACUUCUUAGCUCCUUGAGAUUGGUGGGAGAAGGCCACUGUAAGACUGCUUCAACCUUAGACAUAUCAGUUGACACCCCAAGUUCACUGAUUAUAUGUCCCAAAUAAGAAAUUUGCCUCUUAGCAAAAGAACAUUUAGAGGGCUUCACAUGCCAAUGAUCUUGACGCAGAAUAGUCAAAACUGCUGUCAAGUGAGCCACAUGAUCAUCCAAUGUGUGACUGUACACAAGAAUAUCAUCAAAAAAUACAAUGACACAUUUACGAAGUAGUGGGGCCAAAGAUGUGUUCAUAGCAUUCUGAAAAGUCCCAGGGGAACCUGAUAAUCCAAAAGGCAUAACCAAGAAUUCGAAAUGACCGUGAUGGGUCUGAAAGGCUGUUUUAUGUUCCUCUCCUUGCUUCAUCCUCACUUGGUGGUAGCCAGAAAUCAAAUCCAGAGUAGAAAACCAACUUGCGCCUGACAACUCGUCCACUAGCUGAUCGAAUAUGGGAAUAGGAAAUCUACUCUUUAGUGUUAAGGUAUUUAAAUACCUAUAGUCCACACAAAAUCGGAAAGAUCCAUCCUUCUUUUUGACUAAUAAAACAGGAGAGGAAAAGGCAGACGUGCUAGGUCUGAUUAACCCUUUUUGUAACAUUUCAGUCACCUGAUGCUCAAUUUCAUCCUUAAGUGCUGGUGCAAACCUAUAAGGUCGAAUAUACACCGGAUGAGCCCCUGCAAUGAGAGGAAUACUAUGAUCACAGUUCCUGACUGGUGGUAACUCCACAGGUGGUGACAUCACAUCAGCAAACUGUUGUAGUAAUGCAGUAAUAGCAGAUGGUAAUUCUGGUGCAGAUGUAUUAAUGGAAGAAUCAUCAACCUCAGUAACAUGUAUAAGGAAUUUUUCCUCCACUCCUUUGGACAAACCUUGCAAGAGUAUGGGUUCUCCCUGGUAUGGUAUCAACAUCCAUUUCUGACACCAAUGGACCUCCAUAGGACUGAACUGUUCUAACCAGUCCAUACCUAGGAUAAUGUCAUAGACAGCCAGGGGUAAAAUCUUUAGAUCCAUCUGGAACUGGUAAUGGUGAAUAGACCAGAUGGCUUGGAUGAUCGAAGUCUGACACAACAUUACUUCUCCAUUCGCCACUCUGACCUGAAUGGGGGCAGUACUCUCCUCUGGUAGAUGAAGCUUAGCCACCAAUUGUUGGCUUACAAAGGAAUGAGUACUACCUGAAUCAAUAAGUAUGCUGACAUCUUGAUCCUUUAAACGACCUCCUAGUUGCAUAGCUCUUUUAGCCUUACCACCUGACACUGCUUCAAAGGAAAGAGCAGAAAACACAUGCUCCUCUGGAAGUACUUCUGACUCUUCUCCAGAAGCUGAUUCUUCAGGCUCGAACAACUCCCAGACUUCCUGUAUGGCCUGAAGCUGGACAGUCGUCGCACAUGUAUGUCCCUUAUGCCAUUUCUCAGCACACUUAUCACACAGGCCUCGAGCACGCCUGUAGGACCUAAGUGCUCCCAUUCUAUCAACCAUAGUCUGAGGAAGGGGCCCUGGGCGUUGAUCUGCAGGCACUGCCUUGUCUGCUGUUGGUGGUAGUGUGUUCUUGACUGAAGGUUUGUUCCACAGAUUGCCAUCAAACCGACGAACUUCCUUACGCUUCAUCGGUUCCGAAACUUCUUCCUGUAACGUGGCCAAGGUACAAGCAGUGUCGAGGUCUGGAGGUCGUUGUAGCAUUACGACAGCACGAAUAUCCUCCCUCAGGCCUUCCAUAAACCGAGUUGUGAAAUAUAAGGGAUCAAACACUGACUCAUAAGCUGUUAAUUGAUCAACCAGGACACAGAAUUUCUCAAUAUAGUCAGCCACCGUUGUCGUCUGCUUAAUACGAAACAUCUGACGCAACAGGGACUGAUGUUGAUCCUUGCUGAACCUGUCCAAAAGAAGCUUACAAAACAACUGCCAUGGCAGAGGCUGAUAGCGACGCUCAAUGGACUGAAACCAACAGGCAACCAGUGGGGAGAAAUGCAUUUUAGCCACUUUAACCCAGGAGGUCUGAUCCACACUAUACAUAUCAAAAUAUACUUCACAGCGAGAAAUCCAAAACUGGGGAUGAGUACCAUCAAACAAUGGGAAUGAAAUUGUGGGUAACUUGCCCGUAGAAUGAUGUGUAGGGGCAGAAUCAAAACCUCCGACCCCACCCAAAUCACCAGGAGUACUAGAGAGCAUAUGAUUCGGAAUAACUGGGGGUGAGUGGAAGUUGUGCAUACCCUUGCCCGAGCCCGGCAUGAAGGUCGUCACUGAUCCGUACCCCGGAUCACGAAUCUGGUUCUCCUCGUUGCCCUUCAGACGGAACGACGGCUCGGCCUCAGGCCGGAGCAGGAGACCUGAAUCCCCGGUUUGCGGAUCCAUGAAGGAGCGAUCCCAUUGCUUGUUGAGUUUCCUCAACUCGAGCUUGACAUCUUCCAAGGCGGAAUCCACCUUGGGUCUCCACGCCUCCAACUCGGCAGUCGAGUUCUCGAGCGCGCCCAAGCGCUCCUCCUUGAUGGCGACCACCUCCGAGAACCGCUGUUCCCACUUGGCAUCCAGUGUCGAAAAUUUUUUCUCCAUCUCGUCGAGGAUGAGUUUGGUGCUCGCAUCCAUGGCUCCUUGACGCUUCUGGAAACGGGUGAAAUAAUUGUGGCUGGGAACUGGAUCUAGCUUGUAGCCCGCUAGGAAUCGAAUACCUCUGAUACCAGAUUGUUAGCAGAAUUUGCAGGUAAAGGAAGAACAGUAGGAAGAUAGGAGGAGAAGGAGAAGCUGUCGUAUAGAACUGAAAGAGUUGGUACAGAAUGAGUUUGUUAUGCUUUUUCUGAUUCCUCUCCUUUACCAGCUACUCCCCUAUAACCUCCAGCGUUACCCCAACUUGGAGCACACGUUCACACAUUCCGGCCACAUUCGGCCCACCAGACGCACAGCGUCUUACACACGCCAAUCCGGCCCAAACACCUUCACGCUUGCCUUCCUCGCUCUUGUUCCCCUUCUAGUUUCCACAUCAGCAGGAACCCGAGCUCUUUUAUCUCCUUGCUUUGGUGCAUCCAUCCUCACACUCCUUCUCCGUGAGCAGCUGCCAGUCGGAAUUAAAGGUGACUACCCGCGCCAGGUUGUUGUGGUAGUAGCUGUUGUCCAACAAGUCCCUGGUCCGGCGCAGCUUGCCGAGGAAGGGCGGGAACGCAGCCGCCACGGCGCGCGGGUCCUCGUCGCGCACGUUGUUGGGCACCACGGGGUCGGCUCCGGGCCCCUCCGCGCCGCACUUGGCCGACAGCAGGUCCCGGUACGCCGGCACGAUCUGGGCCGGCGGCGCCGACAGGCGGGCGCGGAACGAGGAGCAGUGGCCGACGCCGACGGCGUGCGCGCCCGACAGGAUCACUAGCUCCUCCACCGUGAAGUUCUUCCGGCGGAAGUUGCGGACCAGCUCGGCCACGGUGAAGGUGGAGUCCGGCAGGUCGCGCUGCGCGUCGGCGGCGCGGGAGACCACGCCGUCCAGCCGCCCCGCGGGCGCGGCGAAGCGCACGCGCCCGUUGCUCAGGAUGCUCGACGCGUCCCGCGCCGCGUACACCAGGAUGUCCGCGCACGACACCGUGCCGGGGCACCGCUCCUCCAGCGCCGCCUUGAUGUCGUCGAUCACGUCGAACGCCGCCAGCCCGAUGUUGAUCGGCGCCGUCUUCUCUGUCUCCGGGUUGGCCGGCGUCGGGUCAAGGAGAACCGACGCGUCGCACCCCUGCAUGCACGUUCUUUCAGUUGAUUUAUUGUGAAAAUGACAUCUCCGCCACCCUUGAGGCCUUGACGAAGAAAGAAUCAACCCAACUGAUGAAUUGAAGAACCCUAUAGGUGUAUCAUCAUUCAUCAGUACACGUACUGGUGCAAUGCAAUAAAACAGCUCGACUAUAAGCUUAUUAGUAGCUAUUAGUGUAACAACCUGUCGCUGUUGCUGCUGCUGUAGACUGACGUGUCAAGUGUGCAUGGCAAGUCAUUUCGUCAUCUCGGGACUGAUACGUACAGAUGGAGCUUUUAAUUAUACUACUACUCAAACACGCUCCCCGGCCCAUCGGAUGGUUUGAUGGAAAGGGAUGUCCACUUCAUAUCAUAUGUAAUAGUGUCGGUAGAGGAUGAUGAUGCAUGGGUUGUUAUGCAUUCUAUCUCAUUGACGUGUCGUCUUAUUCUAGACCACUGCGUGUGUUGAUUUUAUCUGUUUGAGUUACCUAUGUAUGCGAAAAACAUGGACUGCAUAGACGAAUGUAAGAUAAGUCAAUUUACAUGCAUCCGCACAUACGUUCAAAACGGAAAAACGGACGUAUCCGGUUGGCCACCUUUUCGCAGGAGCUUGCGCGUUCGUGUGCAGCCAUCCAAUCCAAUAUUGUAUUUACAUUUAUUUGGGACAUUAUAUUGUGCAUCAAUUGUUGUCAAUUGUUCUGCUAAUGAACACCCAUUUUAUGCACAUAUACGUAUUGCUAUAUGUAUGCGUGGACUAUAUAUAAGGCUAGGGUGUAUAUAAAGCUAGUGUGUGCACUUUUAUGUUAAUUGUUGGGAAGGGUAGUAUAUAAAGCUAGUGUGUGCAUGCGUGGACUAUACAUGUUUACAAAUGGAUGCCUUUUUCUAUAUAAUAGCACAAGCUGAAAAGCAUUGCAUUGCAUUGCAUCGGAGGUUGCCUAUGAGUACUCAAUUUUUUAUAUAUUUAGGAGACUAGUGUCCUAUGAGUACUCAAUUUUUAUAUAUAUUUAGGGGACUAGUGGAACCAAUGAUUCAUGCGCGGCCAUCUUAAUCUCUCCUAUUGCACGUAGCUCUUUCCAACUCUGGUUUUCACAUGCCACUCAUAAACAACAGUUGAAGCAUCAACCUCCAUCAAUCUAGACAUCCCAGCCCCUGUUUUCAAAUAAUAAAACCUACAUGUACCUAGUCACGUUUUCAAAGAAGGGGCCAAUUUUCCAUCAGGAUAAAAUCAAAUGAGUAGGAUGUAUAUAUAAAAAAAUGUUGUGACUGAGAUGGGUAGUAUAGUAGGUACCGAAGAAAGUCACAAGAAAUAAAUACCGGGUGGUUGCAUGUUAGUUAUCAUUUAGCAAUCAGAAAUACAUGGAAGCUGCGAUCAAAAGGACAGGGAAACACGUAUGGGGCGAGGGUCUACCUAAAAGGCAGCGGCGAAUCUAGUUGUUUAUCGGGGUCAGUAAUCCCGAUAAAAGGAAAUUAUUAUUAAAGUUUAAGAAAAUUUAUAUUAUACAACAAAGCUAACCCUAAUGACGAUAUUUUCUGCUAGAUUGGCCACUCCUAAAAGGAGGCCUUGCAUGUGUCCAUUGGAUAUACGAGGUAUUUAGGGUCUGUUUGGUGUGGCGUCUCGACCACCACACCGCGCCUAACUUACGGCGGUUAAAUUGGCCGCCACAACUGCGGCGGUUGAAGUGCGGUGGACUGUGGCAGCUUAGGCCAUACACCAAACAUGCUCUUAUACUUCAAGCUAGGCCAGUAGACUAGUGGUUACAAGAGACAGGGUGUUUGGUUCCAUGUAACUAAUUAAAUUAGUUCUGUCAAAUAUUAAACAUGAUUUAAUUAUUGUAGAUGAUUAUUAAACUAAAUGGUAAAAAAGGGUUUAUUAAGUAUAAUUAGUACAUCAUUCAUCCUUAGGGCAUGUACAAUCUUGAGACUCCGUUUUAGUUUUCUAAGUACACGAGACAGAUAAGAGACUGCAUGAUAUAACCCUGAGGCUAUAGAUCAUAAAUGUAGUUAAGUGACAACAUGCAUAUAGAGAGUUAUGAAGAGACGGACUCUUCACAAAUAACUCGUCUCUUGUAUUUUUUUUCACAUAGCCCCUUAGAGAUCCCUCAAGAGACCCUAUAUUAAAUAGGGUUGUACACACCCUUAUAAUGCUAGACUAGAGUAAACAUUUGAUAACCAUGAAUUAAUUUAGGCUUAAUAAAUCCUUCACUCAUAACCGCCGGUAUUCAAACAUCUGAUGUGAUAUAAGCUAAACUUUAGUAUACAGAUUUUGUCAUAAUUUAUAUUCAGUACGCAUCAUCUGAUUUGACUUUUUACUUCAGUGCUUGUGAUUUUGUCAUAAUUUAUAUUAAAUGAAGACUCCCUUUCGCGCCAUAAUAACGCAGUUGCAGUGAACAAGCUGCGCACGGAACUUUAAUUUGACAAGUGUUAGUGCUAUGCUGAAGCUAAUAAGCUACAGGCUGCUGCUACUGCUUGGAACUUUUGACAAGAUGCAUGUUCGUCCAAGUGAUGAUGGAUGGAGUGCUUUGUUGCUUAAUUAGUCCACGUACGUGUGCGCGUACAUUGUACGUACGAAGGUGCAUGUUUGGUUUGGAGUAUAUGAAACGAGCGAUGUUUAUUAGUUUUGUAACGAGCAAGCUUAAUUAAGUGAGCAGACUGACAGCAGUAGAACUCACGUACGUACCCUGACGAAGCAGUCGUGGAAGAUGAGGCGGACGAGCGCGGCGCCGGCGCCGCGGUUGGCGCUGAUGGCCUUGGCGACGUGGUACUUGACCACGCUCUCCACGCCGGGGCAGGCCGUCUUGUAGUAGCCCAGCUCGAGGCCGCUGCCGUGGUGGGACUGGGAGGCCUCUGCCGCCGCCACUAAGUACACAGAAGCUCUAUAGUGGCGGUUCUAAACUUAUUUACACUGGCGUUUUUCAGUACCGCCAGUGCUAGGGGCCAGUGGAAAUCAGCAUUUCCACUGGCGGUUAUUUUGGAACCGCCAGUGAAAAGUGCAUUUUCACUGGCGGUUUCCCUAAGAAAACCGCCAGUGAAAAGUGCAUUUUCACUGGCGGUUUUCUUAAGGAAACCGCCAGUGAAAAGUGCAUUUCCACUGGCGGCUGAAUAAAGAAAACCGCUAGUGAAAAGUGCAUUUCCACUGGCGGUUUUAUAAAGCAAACCGCCAGUGGAAAUGCACUUUUCACUGGCGGUUUUCUUUAUUUAGCCGCCAGUGGAAGUUUUCCCGCCUUUUUUCAAAAUUUCAAACAAUACUGAAUUAUAUAUAUGUUUAUUUACACACACACAAACAUAUAUAUAUAUAUAUAUAUAUAUAUUGAUAUUGAAAGCAACAUGAAAUUAAAUUCUAUCAUACAUUUAUAUACAUCAAAGUAUUCUGUUUGCAACCAUAUAUGCUUCAUGCAUUCUAUACAUCAUAAGUUUUCACCUAAGCUCUAAUAACUAUCUCGGCUAAGAGAUAAUCUACUAAUUUCUGUUAGUAUUCUAAACUCUAGCAAAGCUAAUGUUCCGGAAGCAUCGUGAUAUUUUCCUUCUGCGGGAAUGACCUCUUUCAAUAUGAAUGUGCAGAGGUCCUCGACUAUGCCAUACAAUGCAGCUUCGGUCAAGUUCUCCGGGUUUCCUCGUUGAAAUUGCUGUAAAGGAAUUUUAUAAACAUCAUCUAUUUAUACUCAAUAAUAACACAUUUGCAUCUUUAAUGACAUAAAUACAUACUUGACUAUUACUAAUAAUACCUUGUCAGGGUUCGUGAUGUAUCGUCCGUUCACUCUCAUGAACUCGCACGCAUAGAAUCCACAUAGGACCGAUCCUUGUGGUUGCUUGUGGCACUACAUAACGGAAGAUUGGUUAUUUAGUUGCAACAUUGUGUAUGAUAUGUAUUCAUAAAAUCACAUACUUACCGGCCAGUGAUGAUAGAUGUCUAGUGGCACGCGUUGUUUCGACAGGUCGUACUUUCCACCUCUCAUCUUAUAGAAUCUAUAAGCCCUGUGAUCUCAAAUAGAAUCACCAUGUUAUUCUCAAAUUUUAAUCGAUAAAAGUAUGCAUGCAUAGAAAAGGCUUACAGCUCUAAGAUGCUGAGGAAUUCUGCAUAUGUCGAAGGGUCGAAGUUUAAGGAGUCGAGCACCAGCACCUUUCCAACCUUAGGAUAAAUGAGGAAGCAUAUCCAGUGGUCCCUGUACGAAUCAAAUUUGUGAUGCAUGUGUAUUGAAAUUAUUAAUUUUAUUUAUGCAAAAUCACACUUACUUAAAGUUGUACGGGGCCAUUAUGGCUUCCCUGUCUUGAAAUUGAAGCAUUGCAUGUCCUAUGUAGGUGGCGUAUCGAGCUUCAAAAUCCUUCUUCAUAUCCUUUAUACGCUUCUCAACUUCUUCGUCCGUCUUUCCCCGUAUUUCAUCGUUGUCUUUCCCGAUUCUAAAAGUGUGGCUUUCCUCGGAUAUAAGUAUUGGGUUGAGAUACCCAACCCUUUUACUGGCACUAGCAUUGGGCUUGGUACCGUAAAGGAUCUCCUGCUGAUCAUGUUGCAUUCUGCAAGUCACACGUGCAUGUCAGAUAUUGAAAUUUUAUACAGCUCACUAAUAAUAACACACAUAUGUGGAAGUAUGAGCGACACUUACAAUGCAAACAUUGUUACAAGUUGCACGUCGAGUCUCUGAAGGUUCAUCAUUAACCACAUGUCCUCGAAUGUAACAACGGCCUUUUGGUCCGAACCAAUAAAAGCAUGGUCUGGUAUAUGCACACUGAUGGUGUCGAUGCCAACCGAUGAUGCCCGCAUGUACCAGUCAUGCAACCUUUUAACACCAGCCGGGACCUUUCUUAGUUUCUCAAGAGGUAGCAGAGGUCUGCCCGGCACAUAUUUUUUAGGCACGUUUUUGUAAUCUGCCUUAGUUGGCUUCUUUAUCUUUGCGGCCAUUGCCUCAGCCUUUUUUGCAGACUCCUCGUGCUCGGCCAAAUCAACAGUUUGUGACGUGAGGCUCCGUCCAAUCCCUUUCAAAAACCGAGUUGUGCCAGCAGUACUAGCUUUACUCUUCUUUUUCUGAUACGGGGACACCAAUUUUGGUAUAGGAAGUUUAGAUUUUUUUUGAUGGCCGUGGAUCCUUUGAUGGCUGUGGAGAAGGUGGAUCCCUUGAUGGUGGCGUAGACAGUGGGUCACCAAGAGGAUGGGGAGGAGAAGGUGGUGGAGCCCUGAAUGGUGAUGCUUGUGGCGGAGACGGUGGGUCAGAAAAAGGAUGAGGAGCAGCAUGUGAAGUUUGAGGAGGUGAUGAUGGAUGUACAAUAGGAACAACAAUUUGAGAAGGCGGAGACGGUUGGGCCUGCGACGCCUGCGACGAAUUCGACCAAUCAAGCAAUUCGACAUCCCUUCGAGGCCAAAGGAUAAAAUUCUUGAUAGCUUGUCCAAGUUUCUCGAUACCUUCGGGCCCAGGGAUGUCUAGCAUGUCGUCCUCGGAUCCUUGGACGACCGUCGUCACUUCUACUUUGCAAUAAUCAUAUGGAAUAUCGUUUCCAUGGAACUUGCGUCCUGGGAUCGCAAGGCCUGUGGCUACUUUCUUUGUACGUUUAUUGUUAAUACCAUAUCUUAUAACCAGUGUGCACGCCACAGGCCUUGUGAUGUCAUCAACUGGAUAACGGACCUUAUUUCCCGUUGAAGCAACAGAGCUUGGUAAUGUCGUACAAUCUGUGGAAGCCGGCGAUUGAGCUGCUGGAAUUAUUUGUAUCUGUGGAGUGGUCAUCUGUUGAACAGACAUCGCACUCGCCAACUGUUGCAUCAAUUCUGGAGGAGGAUUCGAUAGCAUUUGAGACAUCAUGGCUUUGAACUCUUUCUUGGCCUCCUCCUUAAAAUAAUCCGCCAUCUCUUCCUUGUAUCGAUCACGUUUCUUGUACAGACCUUCCCACUGUGGUCCGAAUCCUUCCUUCCAUCCUUCCUUAGACGAGAUUCCUCGUACACGACCAGGAUGCUCAGGGUUACCGAGACCAGCCGUUAGGAUGUCUCUUUCCCUUUGUGGCUUAAAAGUUCCUUGGCUCUGCUUAGCUGCCAUUGUAUAUAUGUUUUUUGCCGCUUCUUCGACAAUGGGAUCAUCAAAAGAUACACCGGUCUCGGUUUCCCUUGAUUUUCUAGCACGGAGCCAAUUUGCCGCCCUUUCACCAAGUUGCUCGGACAGCGUCGGCAACCCUGCGGCCUUCUUCUCGGCGUCUUCUUGUGUCCAUUUAGGAACCUGACGCUUGUAACCACCUGUGCCUAGGUGGUGGCGGUACUUGUUCUUCUUUGAUAGUUCCGAAUUUGCCUCACUUAGAGAUAUGAAAUCAGGGCUGCUCCUCUGCUCUAGAAAUACUGCCCACUGACCUGCUGAGAUUUUAUAUUUUUUGGUCGGGUCCAGACCUUUCUUUGCAAACUUUGUGUUCAUCUCAGACCUCCAGUUUCGGAAAUUGAUUGCAAGCUGCUUCAUCGUGUAUUCAUUCACGAGUUCUUCUGAACCCCGAGGCAGAACGAACCUCAUUAAUAGCUUAUUCCAUGUUUGAUUCUUGACAUCAUCUGACAUAUCUCUCCACUGUCGUAUUGUUAUGUCAAGAUUAUCUCUAACUAAAAACCCAAGUGCAUUCCGGAACUUAGGUAGUGCCUCUUCUGGAGCUAGGGGCUGACCUUUCGGGCUCACGUCUGAGAUUUUGUAUGUUUUGUCGGGAAACUUGUUCAGCCCCCUGUCACCUCUUUUUCGAUCGCUAUGCUUCCUUUUCCUUGACGUCUCGGUUGUUGUCUUGGUCUGUUCCGGUGCGUCUUGGGUCGGCUCCGGUACGUCUUCGUAUCGUGCCACGACUUCUUCGAGUAUCGCACGAAAUUCAGACACGACCUCCUAUUCAUGUAAUAAAAUGCACAAGAGAUCAUGCAUGUGAAAUCAGUAGGGUACACAUACGAAGCUAAAGAUGCGUACUUUUACCUUAGCUUCUCGUGGAUCAUAAGUAGGGUCACGUUGCAACUCACGGAGAGCGGCCCUAUCUAUGCUAGUGGUAGGAAAAGGGUCGCUAGGCGUUUCAUAUCCUUCACUGCUGGAUUGUUCUUGAGCAACACUCUUGUCCAUGUGCUCGGGCACUAAUCCUUGGUCCUUGAUCGGAGAACUCAUUGAGCUAUAUAUAUACAAAUACAUAAGCAAUAAUUAAAUACAUAUUAACACAUAUUAACGUAAGCAAUAAUUAAAUUCAUAUUAACAAAUACCCUAAACCCUUAACCCUAACCCUAACCCAAAACCCGAACCCUUAACCCUAACCCUAACUAUAACCCUUAACCCUAACCCUAACCCUAACCCUAACUAUAACCCUUAACCCUAACCCUAACCCUAACCCUUAACCAUAACCCUAACCCUAACCCUAACCCAAAACCCGAACCCUUAACCCUAACCCUAACUAUAACCCUUAACCCUAACCCUAACCCUAACCCUAACUAUAACCCUUAACCCUAACCCUAACCCUAACCCUUAACCAUAACCCUAACCCUAACCCUAAACCCUAACCAUAUAGUAUCGUAUAGUCGUAUAGUAUCGUGUUACGGAUAUUAUCAAGUUACGUAUAUUAUCGAGUUACGUAUAGAGAGGGAGAGAGGGAGAGUCGUAUAGGACGGGGAGAGAGGGACAGAGGGAGAGUCGCAUAGGACAUAUAGAGAGGGAGAGAGGGAGAAUCGUAUGGAUAUUAUCGAGUUACGUAUAGAGAGGGAGAGAGGGAGAGUCGUAUAGGACGAGGAGAGGGAGAGAGGGAGAGUCGCAUAGGACGUAUAGAGAGGGAGAGAGGGAGAGUCGUACGGAAAUUAUCGAGUUCAGAUCGAAUUCGGAUCGGAUCGGAUACGUAUAUUAUCGAGUUGUGACGGAUAAAAUUACAAUGUAUAUAUUCAAUCUCUCCACUCUCUCUCCCCUCUCCCUCUCCAUCCUCUCUCUCCUCUCCACUCUCUCUCCCCUCUCCCUCUCCAUCCUCUCUCUCCUCUCCACUCUCUCUCCCCUCUCCCUCUCCAUCCUCUCUCUCCAUCCCCUCUCUCUCUCCUCUCUCUCCAUCCUCUCUCUCUCCUCUCUCUCCAUCCUCUCUCUCCUCUCCCUCUCCUCUCUCUCCACUCUCUCCCUCUCCUCUCUCUCCAUUUACCUCACUCCUCUCUAUAAAGUCAAUAGAAAGUCAUGUAAAAUUGUAAAUGGUAGCCACGAAAAUUGAAUGAAGACAAUUACAUGCUUCAGUUUGUCGCUAACAAUAAUCAAUUACAUGACAAGUCCUAACAAUAAUCAAUUACAUGACAAGUAUAUAAUCUAGGAAGCUAUUGUUCUGCCUUGUCCAUCGUGGCGUACCCAGGGCAACGAAUUGCGUGGGAUGCUUCGCUCAACGUUCCUUAUCUUGGUUGGAUGGUCUAUGAAAAGAGACAUGUCGUUGAACUGGUUAAAAUCCUCUAAAUCAGAUACACCAUCAACUCCUAUAGCUUGUUGUUUUCCAGGAAAAACUACAUGCUUCGGUUUGUCGGUGCUUUUCUUCUCAUUGUUAGAAAUGAUCUGUUCAGCAUAGAAGACCUGUGCAGCACGAUUAGCAAGGAUCCAUGGGUCAUCUUUGUAACCUACCUUACUUAGAUCAAGAACUCUGACCCCAUAGUUGUCUACCGUGACAUGUUUGUCUUCAACCCAUUGACAUCGGAAAACCGAGAUCUGAAAUGUACAAUAGUCUAGUUCCCAUAUGUCCUCAAUAAAGCCAAAAUAUGUAAUAAUCUCACCAGUUUCAUCAUCUAUGGCCUCGCAUCGAACACCACUGUUUUGUGACAUGCUCUUUUUGUCCUUGGACUUGGUACAAAAUGUGAAUCCACUAAUGUCAUAGGUUUGCCAUGUUGUGACCUGGCGUGAUGGUCCAGAUGCCAAGCCCUUGAUGGUUUGUUCUUCUAUUGUUUCUCCACGUGGAAUGUCCUUCACCAUUAGCCAUGUGUUGAACCGCUGCUUAUGUUGCUUCAUUACCCAAUCAUCCGUAUGCCCAGGAUUUUGCUCGCGAAGCUCAUUGAUGUGUUGUUGGAUAAAUGGCUCCAUUAUCGUUAGCUGAUGUAGGAUGCUCUGAUGUGCCUCAAGUACUAUAUCGUAAUCCGGUGGGAUGAAAGAUUUCUGUCCCAUCCUCCCGCUUCCAUACAGUCUACCCUCGUGUCGUGACGGAGGCAGACCUAUUGCAACCUGGUCUUUUAGGAUACUAUUGCAGAAUGGACCUCCGGACUCAAUGGCCUCUUCGGUACAGUACCCCUCUAUCAUGGAUGCCUCGGGACGAGCACGGGUUGAUAC
rnacentral:lncRNA from 1 species